GACGAACGCUGGCGGCGUGCCUAAUACAUGCAAGUCGAGCGGGCCUCCGGAGGUGCUUGCACCUCCGGAAGGCCAGCGGCGGACGGGUGAGUAACACGUGGGCAACCUGCCUUUGAGGCCGGGAUAACACCGGGAAACCGGUGCUAAUACCGGAUACGUCCUCUUUCGCGCCUGCGAGAGGGGAGAAAGACGGUCUUUAAGGCCGUCGCUCAAAGAGGGGCCCGCGGCGCAGUCGCUUGUUGGUGGGGUAAGGGCCUACCAAGGCGACGAUGCGUUGCCGACCUGAGAGGGUGAUCGGCCACACUGGGACUGAGACACGGCCCAGACUCCUGCGGGAGGCAGCAGUAGGGAAUCAUCCGCAAUGGGCGAAAGCCUGACGGUGCAACGCCGCGUGAGUGAGGAAGGUUUUCGGAUCGUAAAGCUCUGUUGUGAGGGAAGAACAGCUUCCGGAGGAAAUGCCGGAGGUUUGCCGGUACCUCACCGGAAAGCCCCGGCUAACUACGUGCCAGCCGCCGCCGUAA
rnacentral:rRNA from 1 species